UAUGUGAUCGUCUCUCGCAUAUCAAUAAGCGGAGGAAAAGAAACUAACAAGGAUUCCCCUAGUAACGGCGAGUGAAGCGGGAAGAGCUCAAAUUUGAAAUCUUAAAGGGUUUCCCUUUACGAAUUGUAGUUUAAAGAAGUGUUUUCUGAUGAGGUUUUGGUAAAAGUUCUUUGGAAUAGGACAUCAUAGAGGGUGAGAAUCCCGUAUUUGACCUUUACUUUCAACUUUGUGAUACACUUUCAAAGAGUCGGAUUGUUUGGGAAUGCAGUCCAAAAUGGGUGGUAAAUUUCAUCUAAAGCUAAAUAUUGGCGAGAGACCGAUAGCGAACAAGUACCGUGAGGGAAAGAUGAAAAGAACUUUGAAAAGAGAGUUAAACAGUACGUGAAAUUGUCAAAAGGGAAGCGUUUGACACCAGUGUUGUUUUUCUGAAAAUCAAUUAAAGAACUGUUUAUGCUAAGCUGUUUAGACUUUAUCAGCUAACUGUUUAGUUUUGAGCUUUUCUUUAAUGCACUUUUCAGUUAACAAGUCAACAUCAAUUUCUUUUGCUGUAAAAAAGCUUGAGGAAGGUGGCUUGAGAUUCGUCUUAAGUGUUUAUAGCCUCUUGCCUAUGCAGUCGGAGAGAUUGAGGUCUGCAGCGUAGAUCCUUCGGGGCUAAAUGCAUUUGUGCUAAGUUAUAGCAUUUUAUAGACAACUUGUUGACUAUGAUUUGUCUUGUAGCUUACUCGCUUAUGUUAUUUUACCUACGCUUAGGAUGUUGAUCUACAGAGCGAGAG
rnacentral:rRNA from 1 species